UCUGGCUCACUUCACCAGCAGUCAUCUGUUGCAGAUGCUUCAAGAGAAGAGCUGUUGGAAAAACACAUCAAGUGUAGAAGACACGUUCAAAAAUAGAAAAUACUAGCCUGGAAGUAUGAACCCUCUUCAUAGAAAGUUUUGAAGUUUUCAAGUCUUUUGAAUUUUAAAUGUUGUCUGGAAAGUGUGGAAAUUGGAAAAUAAUUACUCUGUGUGCUUUCACUAUGAGGUUAAGGUCUCUGCUCUAAUUGUGUUCAUUACACAGAAUGUAUAGGACAAAGCUAAAGACUGAAGCAAGAGGUGAAGAAAUUAAGGCUAUAGCUGAGAAGUGGCAGAAAUGGAUUCAAACUCAGGUCUGACUUCAGAAUCCACAUCUGUAUAUCACUGGACACCAAGGCUCUGUGAGAUCGAGAUUUACAAAUAUACUCAGAAGUACAUGAUCUACGAUUGACUGAAAAAGUUAUGAGAAUAUCUACAGCAAGAGUCCAAUUUUGGGGCAAAAGUCUUUAUACAAGCAUAGGAAAGUCUAAAAUAAAAUACGUAAGACGGUAUUA